GACGAACGCUGACGGCGUGCUUAACACAUGCAAGUCGACGGGAGUGGCGAACGGGUGAGUAACACGUUAGUCACCUUCCCUUUUCUUUGGGAUAAACCUGGGAAACUGGGUCUCAUACUGGCUGACUUGGGAUGGUCUCGCGGCUUAUCAGCUUGUUGGUGGGGUGCUGGCUUACCAAGGCUUUGACGGGUAGCCGGCCUGAGAGGGUGGUCGGCAACACUGGAACUGAGACACGGUCCAGACUCCUACGGGAGGCAGCAGUGGGGAAUAUUGCACAAUGGGCGAAAGCCUGAUGCAGCCAUGCCGCGUGUAUGAAGAAGGCCUUCGGGUUGUAAAGUACUUUCAGCGGGGAGGCGUUACCCGCAGAAGAAGCACCGGCUAACUCCGUGCCAGCAGCCGCGGUAAUUC
rnacentral:rRNA from 1 species